AGGACGAACGCUGGCGGCGUGCUUAACACAUGCAAGUCGAGCGGAAAGGCCCUUCGGGGUACUCGAGCGGCGAACGGGUGAGUAACACGUGAGUAAUCUGCCCCUAGCUCUGGGAUAGCUCCGGGAAACCGGGAUUAAUACCGGAUACGACCACUUUAGACAUCUGUUGUGGUGGAAAGAAUUUUGGCUAGGGAUGAGCUCGCGGCCUAUCAGCUUGUUGGUGGGGUAACGGCCUACCAAGGCGACGACGGGUA
rnacentral:rRNA from 1 species